UUUUUUUUUUUUUUGUAGAGACAGAGUCUCACUUUAUGGCCCUCGGUAGAGUGCCGUGGCCUCAUACAGCUCACAGCAACCUCCAACUCCUGGGCUUAAGCUAUUCUCUUGCCUCAGCCUCCCGAGUGGCUGGGACUACAUAGACUUUAAUGUUUUUGAAGUUAGAAAAGAAUGAUCCUGAUGACGAGCCUGGAGACGGAGGGCUCAGGCAUGCCUGACCGGGAAGUGACCGCCCACCCGAGCUCGGAGGCAGUAACACCGGCGUCUGGAAAGUCGCCUCUUGCUGGCUUAGAAAGCCGUGAAUCACUCUGGUCGCUGGCCUGCUGGGGGAUUCCCACAUGGGUUCUUUCCUCCCAAAAAAGAAAGCAAAAGUCACCGAGGGCGGGGCUGAGAGGAUGUCCCCUGGUAGAAACAGGAAGAUCCCGGCCACCUCCCGCUUCCGGGGGACUGGGGCCGUAAAGGGCACCCAGGUUCGGGCUGGGAUGGGGACAGUGCGGUGACCGGAGGGAGUGGCACAGGGGGAGAGGCGUAGGCCUGAGCCGGGCUCAAAGCAGGUGCCGUCACCAGUGGCUUCCCUGAUUGGCACGGCCCGGCGCGGCCCGGCACGGCCAGCUGCUCCUUCUGCCAGCCUGACCUCAUCCUCUCACAUCCACCCUCUGUGCCCAGCACAGCCCUGGGGACACAUCUGAAUGCCAGUGACUGGUCAGGUCCCUCAGGUGUGGUUGUGCCACCAGCCCCCACACACCCACCUCACGCCUUUUGCUCAAUCUCAUUUAGACCUUGGGAUGACAGAGACCAGCUUGCACUUGGGGCCAGGAGUCUGAAGGCUGGCCUGGGCAGCCUCAGGACCCCAACAUGGGGUCCCCUGAGUACCAGGUGCUGUCCCCAGGGAAACAGCCAUCUCAGUCACCGUGCAUUUAUUCACCCCAAGAGCUUGUUCCCUAUUCUCUUCCUGACAUUUGAAGGUUGAUCCUGUGGUGCAGCUUUUGAAAGAAGCAACUUUCACUGUCAACUCUACUGUCAUUGGCAAAAGUGUUCUCAGAAAGGCCAGCUGCCACCUCUGGCUGGAAUUCCCUGCCGUGGCACCAGUGGGGUCUGUUCCUUGGCCUGUACACAGCCCACGGUGCACCAGGAGGGAGUGUAUCUGAAGUCCCUCCUCACUAGCUCCCUGGGGGCCCCCAAUGAAAGGAGAAAGGCUUGACGGGACCAGGAGGCAAGCCAGCCUCCUGACGUCAGUAGGGCAGGUCUCAUCCUGCACACAUACUGAACUGCUGAGUGGAAUAAGCAAAGUCCACAUCUUGGGUGGGCCCUGGCCGGCCCAGCCAGAGCCCUCUGUGACUGAGAGCCUGUGCUGUUACUCAGAAGGCCACAUCUGUGCAGGUAACAGAGAAGGAGGAGUUGAGAUCGGGGGAGAUGAGCUGUGUGGCUGGCGGUGGCUUGGCCGUGUGCUAUGGAGUUGGCAGAGAGGCCCAAGCACUCCAGGACUGGCCAAGAGUCUGUGUGAGGAGCAGCUUGGCCCCACGGCCCUGCCUCAGCCAGCAUCUCCAGAUGGUGCCUUGGACACUGAGGAACUGUGUCCUCAUGGUGCAGAAGAGUGGGAAGGGUGAAAGAGCCAAGACUGGGAUAGGGAAGCCCAAACUCCCUCUUCCGCGACCAGGCAGCUCCUGAGACACUGGCAUCCAUCUAUUCACUCCAUCCUUGUGACCUCACUUGGCACUUCCUCUCAGCACUGCUUUCGGGAUUAAGUUUCCAACAUGUUUUGUGGGGGACAACUUCAAAUCACAGCAGAGGAGGAAGUCAAUAGCACAAGAAAAUAUCUCCUAAACUGAAGGCUUUUACUCUCCAAAUUUAGAGGGCCAAAGGCACUAAGCAGUGGGUGGGACCAAGACACACCGUGUCUCUCACUGUGAAAUUGGGGAGCAGUUGGGCGGCGCCUGUGGCUCAAGGAGUAGGGCGCCAGUCUCAUAUGCCGGAGGUGGCGGGUUCAAACCCAGCCCCGGCCAAAAAGCCACAAAAAAAAAAAAAAAAGAAAGAAAUUGGGGAGCAGUAAGCAUAAAUAGAAAGUCCUGAAAAUGUCCAGAUGGGGGACAGGGCCCUACAGAGCACAUCACACAUAAUAGGUGGAUGGCCACCAACACAUGAGGUUUUCCACUGUACCACAGGAAGUGGAGCACAGGAGGACAUGCCCUGGAAACAACCAUCCAAGAAAAAAACAUUAACACCAGCACAUACUCUUUUUUUUUUCUUUUUUUUGAGACAGAGUCUCCCUCUGUCGCCCUGGGUAGAGUGCCGUAGCGUCACAGCUCACAGGAACUUCAAACUCCUGGGCUUAAGUGAUUCCUUGCCUCAGCCUCCCGAGUAGCUGGAACCAC